rnacentral:tmRNA from 1 species
GGGGGUGACAUGGCUUCGACGUGGGUCGCGAAACUCCGGGUGCAUGCCGAGGAACAGACAACCUCGUAAAUCCAGCUGUAAAACUUAUAGUUGCCAACGACGACAACUACGCACUAGCUGCUUAAAAACCAGUAAAUGCCUUCUGCCCGGAUCGUGCCUGUGCGUCCGGAUCGCAGGAGUCACCGACACAGGACCGCGG